GAGGAAUUUUGGACAAUGGGGGAAACCCUGAUCCAGCGACGCCGCGUGUGGGAUGAAUGGGUUAUGCCCUGUAAACCACUGUCAGCAGAGAAGAAAAGGCUCCUUUGGAGCCCGGGACUGUAUCUGCAGAGGA
rnacentral:rRNA from 1 species